GCGGAUGUGGCGGAAUUGGCAGACGCGCUAGAUUCAGGUUCUAGUGAAUGUACAUUCAUGUGGGUUCAAGUCCCGUCAUCCGCACCA
rnacentral:tRNA from 1 species